GCAGCUUUGCUUGUCGACUAAGAGUGAAGAGCAGUGACAAAUCUCUUCACUUGGGCUUCCUUCCAUUGAUUCAAGAGUGCUGUGUCAGCAGCUAACAAUCCCUCUGCAGAGCUUGUUUUACCAUUCCAUAUUAAGUUAUUCCUGCAAGACCAUAUCACCCAACACCUAAUCGCAAGCCAGCAACAAUUUUCCUCAGAAAAAGAAAGGAACUUAGAGCUCAACCAAUCCUAAAAAGUACUCAUUGUGCUAGGUUGCCCACCCAAAUUAGGCAUUGCGCAAACAUCAAUAGCAAGAGAGCAUUGUACAAAUACAUGGAAGGCACUUUCAUCAGCAUUUCCACAGAGGACAGAGACUACUAACCUCAACACGUGAUUUGAUAGUGUUAUCUCUGGUUGGAAGAAUAUUACGACCAACUCUCCACAAGAAUUCCUUAACUUUCUGAGGAAUGUUUAAGUCCCAUACC
rnacentral:lncRNA from 1 species